rnacentral:sRNA from 1 species
UUGUUAUAAAGGCCCUGAAUGGAUGCUGUAUUUCGAUUCAGUUUUUGGAUUUAGAUUUUAGUUUAUAGAUUUUAGAUUUUCGUUUUAGAUUUUUGAUAUUAUAUUUUUGUUUCAAAACCCAAAAAAAAGUUAGUUUUUGGUUUUUGAGAAAAAUAACGUUAAUUAAGUAAAAAUUAAAUUUUCUAAAUUUUAGGAAAACUAAAAAACUAAAAUCAUGAAUGGCAAACUCCAACAAAAUUGUUUUUCUAAAUUGUAGGGAAACCAAAAUUUUAAAAUCUUGAAUGGUAUAAAAAUAAGUUUUUGA